GUGCAAGGAAAGAGGAGAAGCUUUUGCCUAUAUUCUAUACCUCCUUGCCAUCUUGAUAGAAAAUACAGCUCGUGUUCCACCAUAUUGCUAGAUAACAGCACAGUCAGCGAGCCUGAUCCAGGCACACAUUAGAAAGUGUGACUUUGGCAAUAUAUUACAACAUAAAGCACAGAUAUGCAAAUAGAUCUCUGGCUAUUUCUGAUGAGCCAAUACAUCCACUUUCACGAGAAAAGAUUCCAGGGAAAUCCUUUGAGGAUAUCCCAAACGCAACUGCAUUUUCAGAUAUUUCUGUAAUCUUUUAAAGUCACAAAACUAACAGUACCAGGUGCAAUCGUAACAUUGGUA